CGCAACAAGUUGCACAUAAAUAAAACCAAUGGCGCAGGUUUGCACUCUACCUUUUUGGCACGCCAUUUUCUUCUGCCUAUGUUUGGCACGUCCUCUAGUUUUGCCAGUCUUCUAGUUUUGCUAGUCGUCUUUCCCUUUUCCUGCGUUUCCUCGUUUUCAUUGGUUUCUUAGUUUUUUGGCCUGUGAAGGAGGGGCUAUGGGGGAUCUAGAUCGUGAUUUGAGUGUGCUAAAUCUGGGCGAAGGGGAAGAUGAAGUCUUAGUUUUGGCCCAAUCUGGAAACAAUUCAUCGAUCUCUUUUGACCACUGUUUCGUUGGGAGGUUUCUGUCAGUCUCAAUGAUAAAUUUCCAGGCAAUGCUAUCCACUUUGGCGAAUGUCUGGCACCUUAUUGGGGGCAUCUUUAUAACGGAAUUAGGAGAAGGGCGAUAUCUAUUUCGUUUCUUUCACGUGAUCGAUGUGGACAGGAUCGAACAAGGUGGCCCUUGGUAUUUUAAUUCACACUUAUUGGUGUUACACCGGUUACAGCCAGGGAAAAUCCGACGCUGGUAAACUUAUUUACUGCAAACUUCUGGGUUAUUGUUAAUAAUGUUCCGGUGGGUUUUGUCUCAGAACAGGUAGUGAAACAAUUGGGUGAUUUUUUGGGGCGAUUCCUAGAGUAUGAUGCAAGUGUAGUUACUCUUGUGUAGUUACGCUUGGAUAUAGAGGAUGCUUGCGGAUUCGAGUAGCUCUGGAUGUUCGGAAGUCUCUAAAACGGAGGAAAAAACUUGCGUUGCCGAGUGGGUCAUCCACCAAUGUUACGUUCCAGUAUGAAAAGCUGAGGCUUUUCUGUUUCUUGUGUGGGCUGUUAGGCCAUGGGGAAAUUUUUUGCCCUUGGAGGGUGUUACAGGAGAAGGCGGUUUUGGUCCCACAGUGGGAUGUUUCCUUACGGGCACCAGCAAGAACUAGGGGUGUCGGAACUAUUCCGUGGUUGAGGGAUGAAGUGGGAGGGGAGUUUGGUUAAAUCAGAUGCUGUUAAUGUGAGUGCCACGGCAAUGGAAGACUUGACUAAGUCGGGGGAGCCUCGACUAAAAAGUGGGUACAGAAGGCUUUUUCUGUGGAUAGUUCGAACAAUAGCUAUGGGGGAGGGAUGGAUGUGAUAAUGGUAGGAGUGGAAGAAGAAAAACCUUUGGAGCAGUCUGACAAUGCAAAGAGACAACGGAGUAGUCCAACUGCUUCGAUUGCUCUAGUAGAAAACGUUGCUAGAAAUUUGAAUUUAUCGACAGACCUACAUAUCCAAGCCAGCCGAUCAUAAUGAAGCUCAUGAGCUGGAACGUCCGGGGUUUGGGGAGACCUCGGGCGGUUAGUCGUCUCCGCAAUUUGCUGCGGGAUGUCAACCCGACUGUAAUUUUUCUAAUGGAGACAAAUUUAUAGCACUUACGUAUGGAGAAAGUCCUGGUGUAAUUCAUGUGUAGUGUUCUUGAGGUCUUUUUCGGACUUUCACAUUGAUGUGGUUUUUUCUGAUGAUUCGGAGGGUAAUAGUUGGAGGUGCACAAGUUUCUAUGGUUCGCCUGAGGAGUCGUAUAGAAGGGAAUCCUGGGAUCUUCUUCGUAGUCUGGAUGAUUGUCCUGAUCUUCCUUGGCUUGUCAUUGGCGAUUUCAAUGAGAUUCUCUAUGCUCAUUAGAAAAAGGGUGGUUUAGUUCGCGGUGAUCACCAGAUGCAAGAGUUUUGUUUUGCUUUAGAGGAUUACAAUUUAACGGAUAUUGGCUUUGUUGGAUAUUGGUUUACUUGGGAGAGAGCUAGAACGGUUGCAACAAACAUUCGAGAGCGCCUUGAUAGAGGAGUGGUGGCUGAUAUCUGGGAGGUAAACAAUGACAUUUUCGUUUUGGGUCAUCUUGGCUAUUGGAGAUUCCUGUGAGGUGGAAGUUGUUAAGCUGUGGAAUAAGACUGAGGGGAUGCUAACUACAAAGCUUUAGCAUGUUAGUCGGGGACUAGAUGCGUGGUUUUGAUGUAUUUGUAGAGAGAGGGGGUUACUUCUCAUGAUCUUAGCAGGAGGUUGGGGGAGUUAGUUGAUUUAGAUCCCACUGAUGAUGUUUUGAGAGAGAUGAUCGAUAUGAAAUUACAAUUGAAUCUGGAUAUGGAUAAAUCGAAACUUUAUUGGGAGCAACGUGCUAGAGCUAACUGGAUGCGUAAUGGGGACAAGAACACUGCCCUUUUUCAUAGACAUGCUUCGAGUAGGAAAAGGCAAUUUCACAUUGAUUACUUGGAGAUCGAAGUGGGCGACCGUUUUGAGGGGAAUGUUGAGAUGGACUCACAUGCUCGUUCUUAUUUUAUGUAUUUAUUUUCUUCAUCCGCUACUGAUAUUGAUGAGGAGAUUUUGGAUGGCAUUCAUCAAAGUAUUUCGUAGGAGAUGAACACAGAUAUGGGUAGACCAUUUUCAAAGGAGGAUGUUUAUACUGCAGUAAAAUCCAUGAGCCCGUUGAAAGGCUCAUGUGGGGAUGGUUUGGGUGCACUGUUCUACCAACGCUUUUGGCACAUUGUUGGUGCAGAGGUUGUAGAUUUCUGUAGAGGUCUACUUAAUGUUUAGCAUGACAUGAAUUUGGUGAAUCGAACUCAUAUUGUCUUGAUUCCGAAAGUAUUCAAUAUGUCUAGGUUGUCCUAGUUUCGCCCUAUCAUUUUGUGCAACGUGCUUUUCAAGAUUGUUUCAAAAAUGCUGGUGAAUCGAAUGCAGAGCUUUCUGGAUGUUUGCAUCGAUGAGUCUCAGAGCGCUUUUGUUUCAGGUCGUCUGAUUACGGACAACAUCAUUAUGUCCUAUGAAGUUUUGCACUCUUUCGUUAGAAAGCGGGAAAGUAGGAAAUACUACUUUGCACUUAAACUUGAUAUGAGUAAGGCCUAUGAUAGAGUGGAGUGGAGUUUCAUUUGGACGAUUAUGUUGAAAAUAGGCUUCUCGAUGAGUUGGAUUGAUAUGGUUCAAAGAUGUGUGACUUCGAUAUCUUAUGCGGUUGUGAUCAAUGGCUCAGUGGGUGAGGGCUUUGUCCCUUCGAAAGGAUUACGUCAGGGUGAUCCUCUAAGUCCCUAUUUGUUCCUAAUUUGUAGUGAAGGCUUAUCUUCCUUGUUGCGCAAAGCUGCUAGUAGGGACGACUUUUGAGGAAUAAAGUUGAAUCAGUAUGCUCCAUCGAUAACUCAUUUGCUGUUUGCAGAUGAUAGCCUUAUUUUUGGUGAAGCAAAUGCAAGGACAUACUUGGGCAUUAUGGGGAGUGUUCGGGACAACUGAUAAAUUUCGACAAGUCUGGGUUAUUUUUCAGUUCUAACGUGCAUACUGGCAAUCGAAAUGAUGUGCGUCGUAUCCUUCAGGUAUCUAAUUCCUCUAACCCAGAGAAGUAUUUGAGUCUUCCGACGAUUGUAGGCCGGAAUAAGAGGGUGGCAUUUACUUAUUUGAAGGACCGUUUUUGUUCUUGCUCUCACAGCUGGAGUACUAGAUGCUUGUCCCAAGGCGUUAAGGAAGUGUUUAUUAAGUCCAUCCUGCAAGCCCUUCCCCUUUAUGCUAUGAAUUGUUUCCUCUUUCCGAAAGGUGUGUGCAAAGAUAUGGAGAGUAUUAUGGUGAAAUUCUGGUGGCAGAAAUCGGAGACGAGAGAGGGUAUUCACUGGUGUGUGUCGCAUCGACUUUGUUAACCGAAGACUCUUGGGGGCUUGGGGUUUCGGGAUAUGACAAAGUUCAAUGUCGCUCUACUUGCAAAAACAAGGUUGGCGGUUAAUUCAGAAUCCUAGCUCGUUGGUUAGUCGUCUACUUAAGGCGAAAUAUUUUCCUCACAGUGAUUUUCUAUCCGCUCGUCUUGGUUCUCAGUCGUCAUACAUCUGGCGCAGUAUCUGGAGUGUCCGAGGGUUGUUGGAGUUGGGACUUAAAAGGCGAGUGGGAACAUGUACCUCCAUUUCUAUAUGGAAUGACUACUGGUUACCGGGCUCUGAACUGAGACUGAUUGCCUCUCGGGCAGCGAAUGUCGAGUGGGUUUCGGACCUAAUUAAUUAUCCUAAUCAUGAAUGGGAUGUAGCACAUAUUUCUACUUUAUUUAAUGAGGAAGAGGCGCAUAGUAUUCUUAGUAUACCGCUUACAGUUUUCUGUAAUUUAGAUCGUCGGGUUUGGUGCAAAGAUGGUAGUGGUGUUUACAACGUUAUAAGCCGUAAUAAAUUGUAACUUUCGUCGAAUAAUGUUUAUGCUGUUACUAGGGACAUGAAUUCUCGGUUGUCGGA